rnacentral:lncRNA from 1 species
CUCUUUGCCAUUGUGGCUAUGGAAAAUGCAGUGGUCACUGGGGGUGGUCAGGCAUGGAGUGAGACCUCUGUAGCUUCUGGGAGUGGUUGGCACUCCAAACAAUGUUGGGCUUCACUAUUAGGUUAUGAUUUUUCACUGGAGGAAAGGAAAGUUACUUUGCAUGGAUAAGAUGGUAUAGAAGUUUCUGUAACAGUUUCCCUAUACGUUUCUAGAGUAGUCAGUAUCUAAGUUUUCAACAAGUCUUGGAUAAAGACUCUGUCUUGGCAACACUGUUGUUAAAGAAUAGCUUAACAGUUGUUCUUCGAUUAGGCCUUAGAGUGCAACAGAUCUACACAAAGUAUCUAUUUCUCUGCUGAUAUAUAUUUUGCAAUUCUUUCUCACUGCAGUCUUCCAUGAAUACACAAAAGCACUCCUUUACUGCCCAGAGAUGCAUCUACUUUUCAGUGAUUGCCACCAGAGAAAAGCGAUUUAUGAAACAGUGAGCAGAACACUGUUCUGGAGAAUGAGAUGUCUGAUUUUUAUUCCAAGCUCUGCCAGAGUGACCUUGCACUACCACUUCCUCUGUAUUUCAGCAUCCACAACUAUAAAAAGUGAGUAAUGAGGGUAUAAAUGUAUCAUUUUUUUCUUGAGUAAUGAUGUUGCAUGGUCAUGCUUUGUCCUUUAUUUCUGUUUACUCUAUUGUUUGAGAUUUGCUAUAAAAAAGUACUCAUAUAGCUAAUUACAUUUCAGGAUUCUCAAUAUCCAGUUUGUUGCAACUUAUUUGUAUCUGUACAAAGGUGAUAUCAUUUGGAAACUGUUAUAGCCAUAUUAACUAAAGGUUUCUCCAUUAGCUGAAUGUUUAGAAGUUCUGUGGGUUGCGGAUGCAGAAGGCGAGAGAAUCGUGUUCAGAGAGAAGACAUUCUACAAAUCACUCAUCCUCUAAAAUCCUACACACAUCACCCUUCCUGUCUUAUAUGAAUCAAGGUAGUAAAUUUCAUCUCCACUCUCUUAGAGCAGUUGCUAAACUUUCAUCUUACUUUGUUCAAAUUAUUCCUAUUCACUUAUUACUGUUUCAUAUAGCUUAUUAAUCCUUUCCUUCCACCGGAUGUGCCUAAGUUAAGACUCAUAGAAGUUUUCCAGUGCACAAACUCUAUAGAUCUUUGAAAUGGAAAACAAGUGACUAAAAAC